CCUUGCUUGGCUUCUGUUGCAGCGGUUUCGGUGAAGGCUUCGGGAAGUGAACCUGUUAAUGGAGAGACAGUAAGCUGGGAUGCUGCAGAGAAACCAGUAACGUUCAAGAUAAUCACAGUAGAGCCGAGUGCAUUUUGUAUCACUGGACCGAGUCAAAUGCCAAACUCUCAAGGAAGAUAAUCACCGAGUCUUGUGACUCUGGUAGUCUAAUGAAAGCAGCAGAAAAAGAGUUCCUGCAAUAAAAGCAUGAAGUAUCCCGAGUAUCCUGUAUCGGUGAGCAUCAAGAAUCAUUUAUUACAGAGUGACCAGCAUCCGACAGCAUCCAGAAGUUUACUUUCUGCCCUUGCAGCAAACAAGCCUUUGAGCUAAAAGUGAUGAAAAUAUAAUAAACUUGUACAUGAAGGGCCUGAUCCAGUUCCACUGAAGUCAGAAACAUUAGUUCAAUUAAAUCGCACCCUGAAUUAACGAGCGUGACGUAUCACCUAAUGGCUGAACAGCUAUGCGUUACAUAGUGCAAGUACACUUACUACAGCUGCUUCCAGAAGAAUCCCAUUCCAUCACUGAAUCUGGGAGCUCAUCCAUAAGUCUGAAAAAACAUGAGAGUGCAACAAUUUAAUGUGGUUUUGGAGCAGGUGAUUCUUCA